AUGGCUGUGAACAUCAAUGGGGAGAUCGGGCCUUACUUCUUGGCUGGCCAAGGCGUACGGCAAGGGGAUCCGAUCUCCCCAUUUCUUUUCAACCUUGUGAUCGAUGCUCUUGCUUCGAUCCUAGAUCUGGCUAAACGAGCCGGCCACAUUCGGGUGAUUUGCCCCCAUCUUGUGGCCAAUGGAGGUCUGACCCACCUCCAAUAUGCGGAUGAUACCAUUAUGAUGGUGAAAGGAUCGGACGAGGAUAUUCAGAACCUCAAGUUCCUCCUCCUCUGCUUUCAGGAGAUGUCGGGUCUCACGAUCAAUUUCGUCAAGAGUGAGGUGAUGGUCCUAGGACACUCCCAGGCGGAGGCUUAACGAAUCGCCAAUUGCUUGAAUUGUCGGUUGGGGUCCUUCCCGACCGCUUAUCUUGGCAUGCCAAUUAGUGACACACAUCUACUGGAGAAGGACUUUCGCCCAAUAAUCGCCAAGCUCCAGCCUAGGAUGGAGCCUUGGCAGGGGAGAUGGCUUUCUAAAGCCGCUCGAGUUAUUUUGAUGAACUCCUUCCUUAUUAGCCUUUUGAUGUACAUAAUGGGAUUAUAUAGUCUACAUGAAUCCCUUCAUCAUGAGGUCACCAAACUCCUUUCCAGAUUCUUCCGGGCGAGAGAAAACAAUAAACAGAAGUACCACAUGGUGAAGUGGUCUGAGAUCUGCAAGCCUAAGGACCAAGGAGGCAUGGGAGUCAUUUCAUCCAAGUGGAUGAAUAUUGCCCUCCUCUCCAAAUGGCUCUGGCGUAUUCAGACCGAUGCGGGUAGUCGGUGGCUCGAGAUUAUCCGCGCAAAGUAUCUUCAUGGUCAGCCACUAGCCUUCGCUCCCAGAUCUGGAGGAUCUCAAUUCUGGCAAUCGGUGAUCCGCUUCAUGUCGGUCUUGCGCAUUGGGACCUCUAUUAAAGUGGGCUCCAGGUCCGACGCAUUAUUCUGGCUAGAUAGGUGGGCAGGGACUCGCCCAUUUGCGGAACGCUUCUACGCGUUAUUCUCAAUCUGUUCCGCCCACAGCUCUCUGUAG
rnacentral:rRNA from 1 species